rnacentral:tRNA from 1 species
GCCAGCAUGGUGAAAUGGUUUGAGUGUUGGACUAUGACUCUGGAGACCAAGGUUCAAUUCCCUGCUCGGACA